AUACGGAGGAUCCGAGCGUUAUCCGGAUUUAUUGGGUUUAAAGGGUGCGCAGGCGGCCAUUUAAGUCAGCGGUUAAAUCGUGGGGCUCAACCCCAUUCUGCCGUUGAUACUGGGUGGCUUGAUUGCGGUCGAGGUUGGCGGAAUUCGUUGUGUAGCGGUGAAAUGCAUAGAUAUGACGAAGAACACCGAUUGCGUAGGCAGCUGACCAGACCGCAAAUGACGCUCAUGCACGAAAGUGCGGGGAGCGAACAGGAUUAGAUACCCUGGUAGUCCGCACAGUAAACGAUGAAUACUUGUUUUCGGCGAUAUAAUGUCGGAGGCAAAGCGAAAGCGAUAAGUAUUCCACCUGGGGAGUACGCCGGCAACGGUGAAACUUAAAUGAAUUGACGGGG
rnacentral:rRNA from 1 species